rnacentral:lncRNA from 1 species
CGUCAUGAUCAAGCUCUAAUCAAGCUUGCUCAUGGGAUGACUCUGGUAAUCUACUUCUAAUUCAUUAUGCAAUUACUAAUCAUGUAUGUUCUGGUUCACAACUCUUUUGAGUAUUCUAAUCUAUAGGACGCUAUAGGUGAGAGUUGUAGUAUAGGUGUAAGCGAGGUGCUUAGAUCUAGAUUACUUGUGGAUAUCCCCUGUCUAGCUGGAUCGUGUGGUAGGCCGCGUAGGUGACAGUUACGUUGGUCCUCUGUAGUCCACCUCUCGUUAGCAGGACGGGUAGGGUUUAUUGGCCUAAGGAUAAGCAUCCUUUAUGGUGUACUCUUAUCACGUGGUUCGUCCCAGACAUAGACAUACCCCUUUGUAGUAGAGAAACCAUAGUUAUCCUCUCUAUUCUGCUACCAUCGCCCAUAUACUAGAAUUGCUCUAUUCUCUGUUCCCAUAUUAUCACUCACUGUUAUCUUACCUUUAAUAUUGUUCUUAUUAGAUUCUACCAUCUUUCCUAUUUACACCUAUUUACUUAUCUUGGUUAAGUUAGAGCGUAGAUUAGUUCUCCCAUUUCCCUGUGGAUACGAUAAAACCUUUAACCGGGUAAAAGCUAUAACGGUAUCCGUGCGCUUGCGGAUUAUCUGUGUGCGUAUAAAUACCAUAGUACACUCUAGUGCCAUGCUGGGGAUGACAACCUAGUAUUCAAGUGGUGUUAGCAAGUGUCAACAAGCAUUUUUGGCGCUGUUGCCGGGGAAACGGUUGCUGAGUUGACUACGAACUAGCUUAAUCAUUUUCUAAAAAAAAAUAAAAAAAAUAUUUUCCUUUUAUCCUUUGCCUCAUCUCUACUAAUCUUUCUUUUUAUCUAAUCCUUGAUGUCUGGUCUAUCAUGAAUUUAAACAUGUCUAUCUAUGAAUUUCAUAGACCUACGGGCACACAUCUCGAACCACCAAAAUCUUCAAAGCCUAUCAUAGCAUCUAGUUUUGAGAUAGACCCCGAAUACAUAGAAUUUGUUCAAAAACAACCUUUCUCAGGAGAAGGUGAGGAAAACCCAUACACACACCUAAGAGAGUUUUAUCGAGUCUGUGACCUCCUUCGCAUAGAAGGAAUGUCCGAUGAGACCCUCAAAUGGAAGCUCUUUCCGUUCUCUUUAACGGGAAAAGCUAGACAUUGAUACAAACUCAAAGUAGGGAGUGUUCAUGGAGAUUGGAAGGAGUUAUGUAGUAGUUUUCUUUCUAAAUAUUUUCCAAUCUCCAAAGUGGCGGAACUUCAGCGUGAGAUUAUUUCUUUUAGACAACUGGAAGAAGAAUCUCUUAGGAAAUCAUGGGACCGCUUUAUUAACCUUACUCUCACUGGCCCAAAGCUUUCUAUUCCAGAAGAAGUUCUUCUAAUUCACUUUUUUUGAGGGCCUUAGUAGGGAAAAUAAGCAAACCUUGAAUACAGCCUCUAGAGGAUCCUUCUAUCACCUACCUGCUAGUGAAGCUUGGAAUUUGAUUGAUUUAUUAAGUGGAAAGUCUCCUAGCUUUUAUAUCCCUGAGAAAGAGACAGAACCAGUUCCUAGACAAGAAGAAGAAGUUUUGAUAGCCAGAUCACAACCACUUCAAUUCCAAACUUUAGCUAUCGAUCCUAAACCAUCAAUACCCCAAAAUUAUCCAAGGGAGGAAGGAAUUCCGACCUUAAAUCUUUCCGAUGCUGAUGGUUUAGACUUCUGGUUCCAUAAGAGACCUUCAAGCAGGGAUAAUUCAAAUCCUCGCAAUAAUGGUUCUCUUAGAGAAUGUCCUGGUUCCUUUUAUGAAGAAGUCGAGGAUGACAUAUCAAGUGAAGGAGAGCUAAGCCAUUCUAUCACCUCCCCUUUCCUGAUCACAAGUUCUAAAUGGCUAGAAUGUGUAGAAUGGAUGCAUAAGGAAGAAGCCUUAAUGAAUUCUGACUUUGGUUCAAUUUCAAAUGGUGAGUUCUUGACUCCCUUUGAAGAUGGGAUUCAUCCAACUAUAUAAGAGGACAUAAGUGAGACCAAUCCAAGAGAAACUCUGAACAUUCAGAUUGGAGACGAAGAUAACAUUAAUGAGCAUGGAAUUUAUUUCAUAGCCACUUUGUUUACUCCAUGCUCAUAUGCAACAUCUUCCCAAUCUAUUAGUCUCUCCAACAUCACCACAAUUGAGAUCUCCAACCCCCUCUUUCUUUCUAUUUAUAAAAACUUUAAAAGGGCGGUUGUCGAUGCAUAUGUCUAUAAUAAAUAUUGCAGAUCUCGUUGAGUUGAUUUUGAUUUAGGUCAGCGUUGGAAGGGAAACCACUUCGCCGACAUAAAUUGAUGGUUUCCCAAGGACAAGCUUGGUGUCCUAAAAUAAGCACUGAUCAGAUCGUAACAUGAGUUUUUAAUUAUUUACAACAUUACCUUGUGUAUUGAGCAUAUAAGGAUAAUUGUAAAAAUAUUCCUUCGGGUAUUCUUGUCACUAACCUUUCCAGGAUUGGAACAAGAAGAUCAGAUGAAUGACAAGCAAGUACAAGGUAUGUCCAACCAAUCAUCAUGCAACACUAAAUUAAAUUCAUCCAAACUUGAAUUCUGCAAAAUUCAAGCUUGGGGGAGUACUUUACAUAAAAACAUCCUUUGCCAUGUUGCUAUGUUGGUUGUCCCUACCUUUAAGACAUGCUCAAUUUGUUAAAUACUAAUCACACUACUUCAUCUCCACUUGAGUAGAUCUCUAUAAAUGCUGUCAUGUUACCUUUGUCUAUUUACUAGUAAGUGUUAGUUUGGAAGUACUGCACAUACUUCUAUUGGCUUUUAAAUUAAGCAUGGUGCUUAGGUUAAACAGCCUUCCUUAAUUUGAUUAGACAUGGAGUCUAGUUCGGUUAUUGAACUAAAAACUGCUUGUGUAGACAUUGGUAUAUUUUUGUCGGACUAACCCCUGCAGAUAAAAAAACUUUCAAUAUCGAUUUGCGAAGUCCUGAGAUAAACUCACAUCAAAGACGAAGAGAGUGACACAUGAAGUUUAAUAAUUUGCACAAGAAGGACAUAGCUCAUUCAUCAUAGAGAGAUGAUCCAUGGAGGGUGCCACAAACACGAUGCACAACCGCUAAGAAAGGAAAGCUUCCACAAGGUGAUACUGUACCAUCACUCUUCAAGCAAGGUAACAUCUUAAGGUACUUGACUAUCACUUUUAUAAGCUUCUCCUUGGUUCUAGCGUUCAUAUAAAUAAAAGAGACAAACAUGUAUGAUUUACAACUCUAGAUUAACCAACCUAACUGAUUCAACAUGUUUAGUCCUUUAAUCCUUGUUCUUAGUACUACGUCCAUGAUCCCACACUCCUAAUCAUAUGAGCUAAAAUGUUACACAUUCAAUCAUUGAGAGAUAUAAAGAAAAAGACAUAUACAUAGAUAGAUUGUCUUUCUAUAAGGUUGAGCGAUCUGAUCUGACAAAUGUUAUAAGUGCUACACUCAUGAACUUUUCAUCCAUCAACUUUGUCUUGCUCACUAUGCUUAGGGUUAGAGAAGAACAAAUACACUUUAGGUUCUGUUGGUGUUUUCCACCAACAGGACCCAUGCACUUGAUCUCUGCCUUGUCUCUAUGAGCAGGCACACUUCGAGCAAAACACGGAGGAGUUUCAUAACUCUCAGACUCUACCAAGUGAAGGACCUGGAUCUACGAGCACAAACACACUGAGCAGGUUACUGACAACGCUGCACUUCGAACUGCUGGGCAAACGAAGAACAUGGGUGACACCGUAUCAAGAGGUGCAGACGUCAAGGUCCACACCUAAAUCAAAUGACGCACCUGAAGAAUGAAACAGUGAGAAGUCUUGUUCAGAAGACUUAAAACAUUGAAUCCUCGCCGAAAGGUAAAAUCAGUAGUUAUCCAUAUUUAUCCUUUCUGCAUUCCCUUUUCCCUUUAAUUAUAUCACUUUCCUUAAAUGGCUUGUUAGUUAAUCAUGCUAUCUUAAAAAGAAAAUAAAAAUGUUAAAAAAUACUAAGCCCCAUGUGAGUAUACGAGUGGCAUAAAACCCAUAAGUACCUUCACUGCGGUGGCAUAAAACUAAAAUAAAUAUUUCUUUUCUGUUUUAUAAAAUAAAAAUAUAAAAACAGGGAGUAAUAUUUAUUGAGGAAGCUCAACAUGAUGAAGGCUAGAUAUUUAUGCUAACACUUAAUUAGUUCCACAAGCUUUGUUGUCUAUUUGAGCUCCACAGAAUUUAAGAACCAAGAAGACUAGCAGACGGAGGACAUUCUAAUCGCUGUCAGAAUGCUGCUGACUUUCAAAUACACCUCUGCCACCUGCUAGCUACAUCAAGAGAAAUUACGUCAAAAUUCAGCUUGGGGGAGAGCACCCCCAUUUAUCUCGCUAAGUAUUUUUACCUAUCUUUAUACUUAUAUUAUAUUAGAAUAUUAAAAUACAUAAACUAUGAAAAAUCAAAUAAAGAUUUUGUGCUUAUAUAUAUAUCUUUUGCUUAGUGUGUUUAAUAAAUAAAUAAAUAAAGUGGCUAUGCUAAUCUGAAUCUUAAUAAUAAAACUCUAGCAUGGAUAUGAUGAAUAGUUGCUCUGCCUAAUUUGCAAAUUUGAAGUUCUCUCUCAAGUUUAGACAUAACUGUUAUAAUUUAAAGCUUGCUCUAGAUCUAAACUUGUGGCAUGAAAACUUGAUCUGAAAUCUAAGUUGUUAACGGAUAUGAUAUGGGAAGGUUGAGCUGCUGUUUAUCUGUUCCCAGAGAUGCUAGAAUUCUGGAGAAUUUUAUCUUUGAAAAAUCUUUAAAAUAUUGCAUGAUGAGUUCCUGUAUGAUGAGAGUUUAAAUUCCUACCACAGCCAUAUAUACAUGCUUGCUAGACUUUGAGCCACACAUUUAUUAUUUACUGCUUAUGAGCAUUGAGUGUGGUCAAGCUGUGUAGACUCUUAGGAGCUUGUCAUGUGGUUAAAUCAAGAUUCACUUGCACGGUCACUCAUAUAUGCUACUUCUACUCCGGAAAUACCAUCCACAUAUAUCCAUCUCCAGAACCACCCAAAAAUAUUCUACUCCUAAUCCGGGAGAGAAUAGCCAAAAAUAUUUCUGUUUUCCCUUGUGAAAUAAAUGCUCAAGUUAUCUUGCUACUACCACUUGCUAUAUUAUCUCAAGAGAUGAGUGCUCUGAAAAGAAAAAAAAAAGAAAAGAGAAGAAAAUAAAAUAAAAAUAAUAAUAAACGAGGAAAUAAAAAGGGGCAAGUGCCCGAAACCUCGAAGAAAAGAAAAAGUGAGACGAGAGGUAAAAAUGGAUAAGUGUCUGACAGUAGAAUUAGGGGUACAAGAUACCCACCUGAGAGAAAAGAAAAAAAAAGAAAAUAUAGAGCAUCUCAUUCCCUUCAAAAAGCUUCAAAGUGCAAGAAAGGUAUGUAUCCCCUCAAAAAGAGCAAAAGUAGAAUUAGACUUUCACCAUUGUUAUCACCAUCAUCACCAUACACCAUUCAUUCACCACACAUGCACAUCUUGAUUUGGCUUAUUGAUUUGUUUCUUUGGAUCCAUGGUUUGACUGUACAAUAAAUGUCUUGUAAGUAUGUAUACUUUAUCUUCCACCUAUGAGCUCUAGAUAUUAAAGCCUUAUUAGAGUAGGGUGAGAGAGAAGGCAAUGUCACUAUGCCUUAUACCACAAAUACCACAUAUCUUGAGAGAAGGCAUAUACCAUCACUGCCUUGGUAAGGAUCCAGAAAUACCACAAAAGAGAGAUUUAGAGAGUCAUACAAGGAAUCUCUGAGUUUUAUUUGAAAAUCUGCAAAAACUCCAGAGCUAUAGCUGAUCAAGAAUAAGAGACAUGGCACUUGGCUAGACUGUUCUAUCUGUUAACUACUCAAGACAGAAGUGACGGUUACAAGUCCCAUGGUCAAAGGUAAAGUAAGUAAGUUUUAGUUCUUGACAGUUUACUCUAACUUGGAGAUGAGAUCUUAUUUAAAAGCAUGUGUACCGUCAAAAUUUUAAGAUAUUGCAACAACUUCUGAUCCAUUGCUGAGUCUAUCCUUGCUCAGGGACGAGCAAGAGGUAAGCUUGGGGGAGUUUGUUGACGGUCCUUAAGUAUCAAAUUUAAUUAUCAAAUAAACAAAGAAAAGGAUCUAAAUGAAAUCAACAUCUAGACUUAGGGUUUUAUCUGACAGAAUUCCAUGAGUUUUGGUCUUUGUCUAUUUCUGCAGGCGGUUAUCAGGAAAUAUGGAAGAAAGGACCACACGUCGGGAUUACAUAGAGAUAUUAACGUGCCACGCAAUUAUCUUACAUCUAGAAGACUCCUGAAGCCACGGGAAGGAAGCGGAGGCCGAACGGGGCCAGAGGCAGGGCGCCCGCCCUGACUUGGAGCCCAAUCAGGACUCUUUCUCUCGGGAGAUCUCCACCGACCUAAAGGAUCAAGAAUAACCGUUCAAUCAAUGUCGGUUUGAUCCGACGGCCUAGGUUCACUUGAGGGGACUAUAUAACCAGACCCCCUGGCCCUUGGAGGAGGCACCCCUUGAUCAUUAUUCAUUAUUCAUAGACAGAGCAAAAGCUAGGGUUUAGAGAUGAGAGCUCUCCUCUCUUCUCUAAACUAGAGUAGAUCUAGAUAGUAGCAAGAUGGCGAGUGAAGGAGGAUUAGAGGAGAGGCUGGCCUGUCGGUUCUUCCUCCGGUUGUACUUUGUCAUGAUCAAGAUCUAAUCAAGCUUGCUCAUGGGAUGACUCUGGUAAUCUACUUCUAAUUCAUUAUGCAAUUACUAAUCAUGUUGUUGAUAUUUGGGAACGCAAUAAGGAAUUGAUCCGCAAGCGCACGGAUAUCGGUGAGCACUUCACCCGGGAGGUUAUCCAGAGUAUCGUAUUUAUUUUUUUACCACUAGGAGAAAGAGUGCAUCUGACUAACCGGUCUAUUACUACUAACCCUUUAGGCACAAAGAAUGUCUUUCGAUGUGAGUGAUAAAUAGAGAAGACUGCAACCGUAGUCUCCUUCUAACCUUGGUAAGGAUGAUCUACUGUUCUAAUGGGGAGGCUAACGGAAUCUAGACAACACAAAGGAUGUUCGACCCGCACCUAUAAACCCUAUCCUUCCUGCUAACGAGAUGUGAUCUGCAAAGGUAACUCGGAAUUGUCACGUUCCUCACUACUACCACGGUCCAGCUAGUCAGGGAAUAUCUAUGAGUACCCCAGCCUAAACACCACGUUUACGCCAGGAAUGAUUACUCUAAACUCUACGCGAAGAGAUUAAAGUAAACUCAUAAACCAUAAGAACAAUAAAACAAGAACUUACUAGAAUUUAGAAGUCGAAAUACUGAAGAAUCCUAGGAGCAAGCUUCGGGUUAGGAGAACUUGAUCCCGCAUGUACAAGCUUGGAGUAGACACCGACAGGCCGGGCUUCCUCCAAUCUACACCUCCACUCUAUCUCUCUCAAUCUAGUAGAAACUAGAAGAUCUAUUUCUACCGUACAUUGGUUGCUAAGCCUAAAAAGAAAUAUUAAUUAGAGAAGAGGUUUUCCUUCGAGGGCACCCCUCAGUCUCUAUGAUAAUUUCUUCAUGUCUUCUCCAGGGGCCAGGGGGGUCUCCUUAUAUAGUCCUCCCCUUCUAUGCGUUUUUGGGUCGAUAGGCGAGGUGGUACUAUGUUUUUCUUGAUCCAAUAGGUCGGUGGAAUAUCCCGAGCGAAGAGAGUCCUGAUUGGCAUCCAGAGGGGGGCGGGCGCCCAGGUCACCAGGGCGGGCGCCCUGGGCCUGGCCCCUUUCGGCCUCCGUCUUCUUCCCGUGGCUUCUGGAGUCUUCUAGAUGGUAGAAAAUUGCGCGGUGCGUUGAUAUCUCUAUGUAAUCCCAACAUGUGGGCCUUUCUUCCUUAUUUCCUGAUAACCCCCUGCAAAAAUAGAUAAACAACAAAACUCGUGGAAUUCUGUCAGAUCAAACCCUAAUUCUAGGUGUUGUUUGCAUAUUGGUCUUUUCUCUUGUUUAUUUGAUAAUUAAAAUUGAUACUUAAGAACCGUCAACACAUGUAUGUUCUGGUUCACAACUCUUUUGAGUAUUCUAAUCUAUAGGACGCUAUAGGUGAGAGUUGUAGUAUAGGUGUAAGCGAGGUGCUUAGAUCUAGAUUACUUGUGGAUAUCCCCUGUCUAGCUGGACCGUGUGGUAGGCCGCGUAGGUGACAGUUACGUUGGUCCUCUGUAGUCCACCUCUCGUUAGCAGGACGGGUAGGGUUUAUCAGCCUAAGGAUAAGCAUCCUUUGUGGUGUACUCUUAUCACGUGGUUCGUCCCAGACAUAGACAUACCCCUUUGAAGUAGAGAAACCAUAGUUAUCCUCUCUAUUCUGCUACCAUCGCCCAUAUACUUGAAUUGCUCUAUUCUCUAUUCCAUAUUAUCACUCACUGUUAUCUUACCUUUAAUAUUGUUCUUAUUAGAUUCUACCAUCUUUCCUAUUUACACCUAUUUACUUAUCUUGGUUAAGUUAGAGCGUAGAUUAGUUCUCCCAUUUCCCUGUGGAUACGAUAAAACCUUUAACCGGGUAAAAGCUAUAACGGUAUCCGUGCGCUUGCGGAUUAUCUGUGUGCGUAUAAAUACCAUAGUACACUCUAGUGCCAUGCUGGGGAUGACAACCUAGUAUUCAAGUGGUGUUAGCAAGUGUCAACAGUUUCCCAAUGGACCGAGACAAUGGAAGUGAGGCUGAUCGGUAGGGAUCGCUAUAUUAUCGGCUAAUUCCUAAAGGGUUU